GGAUGAACGCUGGCGGCGUGCCUAAUACAUGCAAGUCGAGCGAACGGACGAGAAGCUUGCUUCUCUGAUGUUAGCGGCGGACGGGUGAGUAACACGUGGAUAACCUACCUAUAAGACUGGGAUAACUUCGGGAAACCGGAGCUAAUACCGGAUAAUAUUUUGAACCGCAUGGUUCAAAAGUGAAAGACGGUCUUGCUGUCACUUAUAGAUGGAUCCGCGCUGCAUUAGCUAGUUGGUAAGGUAACGGCUUACCAAGGCAACGAUGCAUAGCCGACCUGAGAGGGUGAUCGGCCACACUGGAACUGAGACACGGUCCAGACUCCUACGGGAGGCAGCAGUAGGGAAUCUUCCGCAAAGGGCGAAAGCCUGACGGAGCAACGCCGCGUGAGUGAUGAAGGUCUUCGGAUCGUAAAACUCUGUUAUUAGGGAAGAACAUAUGUGUAAGUAACUGUGCACAUCUUGACGGUACCUAAUCAGAAAGCCACGGCUAACUACGUG
rnacentral:rRNA from 1 species